rnacentral:tRNA from 1 species
GUCCGCGUAGCACAGUGGUAGUGCGCUUGACUACGAUAAUCAAGAGGUCGCGAUUUCGAAUAUCGCCGUGGAUU